UACGGAGGGGGGCUAGCGUUGUUCGGAAUUACUGGGCGUAAAGCGCACGUAGGCGGCUUUGUAAGUUAGAGGUGAAAGCCCCAGGGCUUAACCCCUGGAAUUGCCUUUAAGACUGCAUCGCUAGAAUCGUGGAGAGGUGAGUGGAAUUCCCGAGUGUAGAGGUGAAAUUCGUAGAUAUUCGGAAGAACACCCAGUGGCGAAGGCGACUCACUGGACACGUAUUGACGCUGAGGUGCGAAAGCGUGGGGAGCAAACAGG
rnacentral:rRNA from 1 species